UGGAUUAGGCAUGCAAGUCGAACGGUAAGGCCCCGCAAGGGGUACACUAGUGGCGAAAGGGUGAGGAACGCGUGAGUAACUUGCCCCCAAGUUGGGAAUAGCUCUGGGAAACUGGAAUUAAUACCGAAUACAGUUGAAUUUUCGCAUGGAGAUACAACUAAAGAUUUAUCGCUUGGGGAUGGGCUCGCGUCCCAUUAGCUUGUUGGCAGGGUAACGGCCUACCAAGGCACUGAUGGGUAGCUGGUCUGAGAGGAUGGUCAGCCACACUGGAACUGAGACACUGUCCAGACUCCUACGGGAGGCUGCAGUCGAGAAUCUUCCGCAAUGCGCGAAAGCGUGACGGAGCGAUGCCGCGUGCAGGAUGAAGGCCUUCGGGUUGUAAACUGCUGUCACCGGGGACGAAAUAAUGACUGUACCCGGAGAGGAAGCCACGGCUAACUACGUGCCAGCAGCCGCGGUAAUACGUAGGUGGCGAGCGUUGUUCGGAUUUAUUGGGCGUAAAGGGUCCGCAGGGGGCCAACUAAGUCUGAUGUGAAAUCUCACGGCUUAACCGUGAAAUUGCAUUGGAAACUGGAUGGCUAGAGCCCCGGAGAGGAGAGCGGAAUUCCUGGUGUAGCGGUGGAAUGCGUAGAUAUCAGGAAGAACACCGAAAGCGAAGGCAGCUCUCUGGACGGGUGCUGACCCUCAGGGACGAAAGCAUGGGGAGCAAACAGGAUUAGAUACCCUGGUAGUCCAUGCCUUAAACGUUGUGAACUUGAUGUAGGGGGAUUUAGCCCCCUCUGUGUCGGAGCUAACGCGUUAAGUUCACCGCCUGGGGACUACGGCCGCAAGGCUAAAACUCAAAGGAAUUGACGGGGGCUCACACAAGCGGUGG
rnacentral:rRNA from 1 species